CCAUUAUAAAAAUGUAAUAACAUUAUUUAUAUUAACACAAUAUGUUUAAAGUGCACAUAUUUACUAAUAAAACUGUGGAAAGGUAAACAUAAUAUCUCUCCAUAAAUCUUAGCUAUUGUCCGUACAUAUCACACAUAAAGAACACAAUGGUUAAAAUCAAUUAACAGGGAUAAAUCUCCCUUUUGGAGUUAACCAUGCAAAAAUUCAUUAUGAAAAAUUACAACACUAUUUGCCAGACUAAUGACAAGUCUGUUUUAUGAAUUAGACCUUAAAGAUUCUACUUAAAAAAUUAGCUUGGGAGUUUAUAUGACUACCCAAGCUACAGGUAUUUAAGAUAGUUAUUACUUUAUAGGGCCUUUCAGCCCUCAAACAAUUAGCAAAUGCUUUGACUAGUUACAAAGAGGGGUAUCAGGGCACUCUUGGUACCAUAACCACUAUAUAUGUUUUUAGUGGUUAUGGCACUCAGAGUUUUCCUUUAAGCUGUUUACAUAUUUUAUAAAGAUCCAGAGUUUUUAAAGAUGUUUUUAAUAUGAAUUAUGCACUUGAAUUUGUUGCCAUAUGUUUUAAGUGAUAAUAUCUCCAAUACUGUACCAACCUUAACUCUAAACUCUACUUUCUAAGUGGCUGAUAAUGGCCUUGACUUAAAAUGUUUGGAUAAACAUAAAAAAAAAAAAAAAAGAUAAACUCCAAAAUAAUAAAAUAUCAAUAAAUAUAUCAUAUA